UCAUAUCUCAUGUAGUUAAUAUGUUACGUGAUGACAGGUCAGUAUUCAUAUCUCAUGUAGUUAAUAUGUUACGUGAUGACAGGUCAGUAUUAUUAUUUCAUGUAGUUAAUAUGUUACGUGAUGACAGGUCAGUAUUCAUAUCUCAUGUAGUUAAUAUGUUACGUGAUGACAGGUCAGUAUUAUUAUCUCAUGUAGUUAAUAUGUUACGUGAUGACAGGUCAGUAUUCAUAUCUCAUGUAGUUAAUAUGUUACGUGAUGACAGGUCAGUAUUAUUAUCUCAUGUAGUUAAUAUGUUACGUGAUGACAGGUCAGUAUUCAUAUCUCAUGUAGUUAAUAUGUUACGUGAUGACAGGUCAGUAUUAUUAUCUCAUGUAGUUAAUAUGUUACGUGAUGACAGGUCAGUAUUAUUAUCUCAUGUUGUUAAUAUGUUACGUGAUGACAGGUCAGUAUUCAUAUCUCAUGUAGUUAAUAUGUUACGUGAUGACAGGUCAGUAUUAUUAUCUCAUGUAGUUAAUAUGUUACGUGA